GCAGGACACUUAGCUCGUUGUGGAGAGUGGGGAAGAGAGAGUCCCAAACCGUGUUCCUGGGGAAUGAUUACUUAAGACACCAAAUAGAACCCGUCCCCACAGGUGAAGAAAUGCGAUUAUUCAUCUAGUUGACUUUUUGGUGGCAUUUGUGAGGUACAGAGGGAUGGGGGUGGGACUGGAAUGUCCUUUAGGGCUCUGGAGCCCUCCCAGAGCUCUGAGGGAAGGCAAACAAACCUGGUUUGAACCUUGUACUUUCCUGGGAGGCAAAUGGAAGGGGAGUAGGAAAUGGGAGGGAGGAAGCAAAACACAACCCCAGAUCCUAUCAGAAAUCCAUUCCUGGCCACACCCCAUUCCUGGUGGAGGCAAGCUGGGCCAGGACCGUCUGCACAAGGCCAGAGGAAUAGCGAAUAAGGGAAGAGACUUGGCAACCCCCAUCUCAUUCCCAUCAAAGACGGAUCAGGAGCCUAGGGAGGUGGGUAUGGGCACAGUGAAUGAAGGCACGGCGGGUGCAGCCACAGCGUUGAGCUGCGCAUGUCAACUUGGACGUGUGGAUGACCGGUCCAGGUGUGAACCCUGUGAGUACUGUCCGGUGGAUCCAAGUGGGAGUUGGCCCUGUUACCUGCCUCUGCGUGCGCAUCCGCUCCUGCUGGCCUUCCACUGCCUCUUCGUUGCUCUUGUAUUACUUUCAGGAACUUUUAGGAUUAUGGGAUCCUUGAUUUAGUGCACAUAGGUAGGAAAGGGGCCUGUCAUGAGCUGAGAACUGUAGUUUGCUCCCUCUUGUUGCUGGGUUCAUUAUUAGCAGGAGAGGCAGAGCUGUAAUAAUGAAGCAUCCAGCACAGGCGGCCAGUUAGGUUUCACUAAGGAAACCUGCCUUGAUGAGACCUGGGGGAAAGGAAGGAGGGAGGGGGUAAGAGGGAGAGCACGGGUUGGGGUGGAAGUGAAUUAUAAUGGUGCAGUUAAUUAAAGUUUACCAGUGCCAGGAGCCGUUUGUUAAAUGGCAGCUCCCCCUUCUUUUUUUUUUGGAACUGUGUGACCUUUCUCUUUGCUCUGACACAUUCAGCUGCUAGUUUGGUUGCCUUAACCAGUCUUGCUUUGAUCCCUCAGCUAGAUUUCCCCUACCCUGACACUUUCCACAUUGCACACCCAGGAAGCAAUUUCCUCUCCAGUACACGAGGAUUCUUGUGGGUUUCAGAGAUUCAGAUGGAGGUCUCUGAUGAGCUAGUCUUCCUUCAUCUCAAGUUCACCCUGGAUCUCCCCACCUCCUCUGUUUCCUCCUUCUCAUUCUCUUCCCACUACGAGCCAAAGUGGCCAACAUUUAAAAAUCCAUAUUGCUUUUAUUUAUAGGCAUUGUUUGUGCAGCUAACCUAAGCCGGAUGUUUCUUUGAGUGGGCACAGGGGUGGGGCAAAGAGGACUUAAUUCAACAGCUUUGAGAGAAGAGGCUGAUGAUGGGCGUCAUUUUUUGACCUUGAUCUCUGACGGUUGCAAGAUGGGAGAUCCACCAGUGAGGACAACUCACCAUGUCAAGUCCGGCAUUCACAUCUGAACCCGCUCUGCUCACGUGGGCGUGAACACCUAUGUUUUUGUUUGUUUGUUUUUAAUAAAUUUAUUUAUUUAUU